rnacentral:lncRNA from 1 species
AUGGCACUUUCAGGUACGGGAGCAGAUGGACUGUGCACAAGCAAGGUUGCAACUUUCUCACUUGCAGGAAGCAAAAGGAUGGGGGAAAACGUGAGAAAUAGGUAUAAGAGUUCUGCCAAAAUAGCUCUCAUGACUGCUGAGCGCAAAGGAGCUCCAGGAGUCAACGAGCAACUUGGGGUACAUCUAAGACACGACGCUUUGCUCGUCCAGUCUUCUUCUCUGCAGCACGCCUCCUCCUCCUGUCUCAUCGCCGUCUGCGCGGAUUCUCUCCCGACACCAAUCAGAAGUAAUCAGAUCAGAAGCAGCGUUGGAAUCGAAAACAGACUCGACGGAGGAAUUUUUCACGUGCAGCCUCAAAUGAAUCGUAUACAGCUCCUGGUACCUGAGGCUGUUUUCGGUUAA